ACCUUGCUGGCUUAGUCGGUAGAGCAUGUGACUCUUGAUCUCAGGGUUGUGAGUUCAAACCCCGCAUUGGGUG
rnacentral:tRNA from 1 species